UUUUGCAAUUUUUAACACAGAUUUCAGCAUUUUUAAAUAUGAAAUUGUAGGGAGAAUGCUAAACUUGCUAGGGGAAGAGUUCCAGGUCAGGGAGGCUUGUCCCGUCUGCCCUUCCUCUGGUUGGGGCCGGGCCAGCGCAUCUCUUCUUCCAUCUGCACAUUCACUGCCACCUCCCCAAGCUGAAACAUCACCUCUUGUUUCCACUCAGGUGAAGACCCCCUGGUGGACGAUCAAAAUGAACGAGAUAUCAAUUCAGUCGCAGGUGUUUUAAAACUGUAUUUCCGAGGACUGGAAAACCCACUCUUUCCUAAGGAAAGGUUUCAAGAUUUGAUAUCCACUAUUAAACUGGAGAACCCAGCUGAGAGAGUGCACCAGAUCCAACAAAUCCUCAUCACCCUUCCCCGCGUGGUCAUUGUGGUCAUGAGAUACCUCUUCGCUUUCCUCAACCACCUCUCCCAGUAUAGCGACGAGAACAUGAUGGAUCCAUACAACCUGGCCAUCUGCUUCGGGCCCACCCUCAUACACA